UACGAAGGGGGCUAGCGUUGUUCGGAUUUACUGGGCGUAAAGCGCACGUAGGCGGAUCGUUAAGUCGGGGGUGAAAUCCUGGAGCUCAACUCCAGAACUGCCUUCGAUACUGGCGAUCUUGAGUCCGGAAGAGGUGAGUGGAACUCCUAGUGUAGAGGUGGAAUUCGUAGAUAUUAGGAAGAACACCAGUGGCGAAGGCGGCUCACUGGUCCGGUACUGACGCUGAAGUGCGAAAGCGUGGGGAGCAAACAGG
rnacentral:rRNA from 1 species